rnacentral:rRNA from 1 species
AACGAACGCUGGCGGCAUGCCUAACACAUGCAAGUCGAACGAGACCUUCGGGUCUAGUGGCGCGCGGGUGCGUAACGCGUGGGAAUCUGCCCUUGGGUUCGGAAUAACAGUUAGAAAUGACUGCUAAUACCGGAUGAUGUCUUCGGACCAAAGAUUUAUCGCCCAGGGAUGAGCCCGCGUCGGAUUAGCUAGUUGGUGAGGUAAAAGCUCACCAAGGCGACGAUCCGUAGCUGGUCUGAGAGGAUGAUCAGCCACACUGGGACUGAGACACGGCCCAGACUCCUACGGGAGGCAGCAGUGGGGAAUAUUGGACAAUGGGCGAAAGCCUGAUCCAGCAAUGCCGCGUGAGUGAUGAAGGCCUUAGGGUUGUAAAGCUCUUUUACCCGGGAUGAUAAUGACAGUACCGGGAGAAUAAGCCCCGGCAAACUUCGUGCCAGCCGCCGCGGUAAUAC